GAUGAACGCUGGCGGCGUGCCUAAUACAUGCAAGUCAAGCGAACAGACGAGGAGCUUGCUCCUCUGACGUUAGCGGCGGACGGGUGAGUAACACGUGGAUAACCUACCUAUAAGACUGGGAUAACUUCGGGAAACCGGAGCUAAUACCGGAUAAUAUAUUGAACCGCAUGGUUCAAUAGUGAAAGACGGUUUUGCUGUCACUUAUAGAUGGAUCCGCGCCGCAUUAGCUAGUUGGUAAGGCAACGGCUUACCAAGGCAACGAUGCGUAGCCGACCUGAGAGGGUGAUCGGCCACACUGGAACUGAGACACGGUCCAGACUCCUACGGGAGGCAGCAGUAGGGAAUCUUCCGCAAUGGGCGAAAGCCUGACGGAGCAACGCCGCGUGAGUGAUGAAGGUCUUCGGAUCGUAAAACUCUGUUAUUAGGGAAGAACAAAUGUGUAAGUAACUAUGCACGUCUUGACGGUACCUAAUCAGAAAGCCACGGCUAACUACGUG
rnacentral:rRNA from 1 species